rnacentral:lncRNA from 1 species
CGUCUUCCUCUUGUCUCCCAGAUAAAAUACAAACUCCUCAUCCUGGUAUUUAAAAUUCUUUGCCACCAACCUUUUUAGACUUUUUACAUUGGCACUCCCCAUUUUCAGCCAAAACAACUUUCUGGCUCUUUCCUAUGUACAUAUUUCUAUCUUUUGCUUCUAUGGCUUUCCACAAAUUGUCACUUCUAUCUGUAAUACACUCUUUACUUGCUUUCCCUUAUUUGAUUACAUAGCUUCUUUCCGAGUUAUAACUUAGAUGCCACCAAGUAUGUGAGGUCUUUCCUCACUUUCACUGGUAGGAGGACUCUCUCUUGAUAGUACUGUAGGAAUAUAAGGGAUAUGACUGGUUUUCUAGGGUUAGUGGAAAGAAGGGAAUUUUGAGAUAAGCCCUGGGAAAGGAUUCUGGGUAGGAAGGGAUUGUGGGAGUCUAAAACUGAAAAUAACUGAACUUCACUUCCUUCUUGGAUUUCAUCUGAGCUGGAAGUGGGUUUUGUCUCUGCCUAUAAUUUCAAGCUGAAGGAGGAGUUUUGCUCUAAGAGAUUCUCCCUGGAAAGCCAGGAUUUUCAUGGAGAAAAUCUUUGACAUCCAGGUAGAGCAUUUACUUGGAGAAAACUAAUUUCCCUGAGUCCAGUCUUCAUUUGGAAAUGGUCUAUCUAUCAGAAUUCCUAUUGGCAAAGGUUUCUAGGACAAAUUGCCUGGAUUUCAGUAAGCACAGCAAUCAGUGGAGUGAAACAUACCAGUCUGUGACUGAGAGGUUAUCUGUGUUCCAGCAUGUGUUAAUAGCUAUGCUUCAGAGUGCCAUGGUGUAGAGGAGGAGUGACUUUCGUUGAUUACCAACUAACUGUUAACCACUCAGACAAAUAUGAGGUGGCUGAACAAGAAUAUCUCCAGGAGUCUUUGACAGAAGUGGAGCAGGGAUUCAUACCAGCCUGCUUCAGAGGAAUAAUCUAUUUAGGGACCUAGAAAGAUGACAAGAUGAAUGGAUUUGGAGGACUUGGACAUUUUCCAGGAGUACUAUAUGAGGGAUAAUUCAAGGGCAGCACGUCUCAUGGUACAAGGACAUAUACAUUCCCAAAUGGAACCAAAUACACUGGAAGUUUCAUAGAAAACAGAGUGCAAGAUAAAGGAGAAUAGACUGACAUUCGUGGAUUGGAACGGAGAGGUCACUUUCAUUACCCAGCUGGGCCAGGGCUGAAACAAGCAACAGAUGGCGAAGGUCUCUAAACUGAAGUAAGAACAGGAAGCUGAGGAUAUUCAUAAGCAAUUAUGACCAAGUAUUUCCAGUAAAAAUUUCAUGUACUACUUUCUGUACUAUGAGUUAUCCAAUAAAACCGUCCAGCCAUUUCUCUCCCUGUGACUU